AGACCGGUACACCCGGAGUAAACCCAGACUGACACCGGAAGAACAUGCAAACCCCACACAGAAAGGCCACCUGACUUAGCCGGAGCUCGAACCGGGGACCUUUUUGCUGCCCUGUUUGACUCUCAUUAUAAAAGGCCGUUCCAAAUGAGCAGUUAUUUUCCGUGAAGUCCACUUCAACUGAUAUACCGUGCUCAGGGAGUAGGGAGCAGUGAACACUCCUUAGGGACCCUGUUGAAUGGAACGCACCUCCAGACUCCACUCGCUCACUCUCUCCUGCGUGUUUGUGCACCUCUCACCCUCAAACAAGGUCAGAGCAAGCGCCCUCUUUUUAAAGUUUCUGCUAAUAUGACAGUUAACAGCAAAAGAGCGCUCACGCUUUAAUAUUUGAUUGACAAGACAGCUGACUCGGUGGUUGCUUAGCAAUAUGAAAAGCCGCGUCACACUGCUCUUUUUUUAAAAAAGGCAGUGCGUCGCGUCUUGCGUUUGCAAGCGUUUAAAGCGCUUUUGGUGUGACUGGCCCCUAAGACUGAAGUUUAUUCGUUAGUUAAGUGGUCACAUUUGACAGUUUAGGCUAAAAAAAGUCCAAUGAAGUUCAACAUCCAGCUCUUAAAGAAGAAACUAGGGAUGCAUAACGAUUAAUCGUGAUUAAUCUAUAGCAGAAUAAAAGUUUUUGUUUACAUCAUAUAUAUGUGUGAACUGUGUAUAACUAUAUGAAGAGUUUGGUUCCAAAACGCAAUAAAUCCAUUUUGACAAAUUUCGGUAAAAACGUGUUUUCUAUACCAAGAAAGUGAUAAGAUGAAAACCACUAUUUUCUGUUACAAACUUUCCCAUAGCAUCUUUAGGUUAUAAAAACAUAAAAAAUUAAAUCCAUAACUUGAUUUUCAAACAUUUAUUAUAAAAAAAUUUUUUUCCACAAAAUGCAAUAAAUCCAUGACAGUUUUUGUUUCAAAAUGCUAGAAAUCUAUUAAUUCAAUGUACAAAUGUGCAUUCAUCUUUGCCAUUUUAUAUUCAUUUAGUUGAACAGUUGUACACACUGAUAAAAAAAUAAACAUUAAUGUUAUUAAUCAAAACACUUACUUUGUGAUAUUAAGAACACUGUCAUUGCUGCGGUUAUACUUGACGUCGUUGCUUAGCAUUUUUCACAGCGAUCAGCUGUAAAAUGUUUUGGUCCUGCUCGAUUUUCGUUGACUGAGUAAAAUAAUGUAAAGUUUUUCAUAAGAUCCCCUGGGGUCAAUGUUUUAGCAUGAGAAACUUGAUGCUGUCGGGAGAUAAGCACCAGUCUCCCGAGUGCUUCGCGUAAAUUAUUAGAUGUUUAUCAAUGCCAUUAAAGUAUUAUUUUGUUUUGUUUGUUGAUCACGAAGUACAAAGUAGAUGAGGAAAACUAGGACUCCGUGUACUCAGCACGCCACCAUUGUUUGUUUACAUUGCGUUACUGGUGGGCUGUAAUUUCUGGAAUGGAUUUAUUGCGUUCUGUAAAAAAGGAUAACUCAAGUCCUCAAAACUUCUAGUUAUCUAGCUUUAAAUUUAAGUAGUGCAAAACAAUAUUGUUAUUCGAAGCCUCCUAAACAAAUGAAUCCCGCACGCAUUCAAACUUCAAAUUCAAAGAUAAUGAAAGUCCGGUGUUCUUAAUUAUCGGUCGACGAGCCCCCAUAUUUGUCACGACCGGCUCACGCAAAACAAUUUCUUUGCAAAGGAAUUUUAUUUAGCAAAACAACAUUUUAAACAAGGAUAAAUCGCUUAAGAGAAUAUAAUCUUUUAAAAUAAAACUACAUAAUUAACACAAGCACAAACGUCCAAAAUAACUAAAUUAAUACAUACCAAAAUAAACAAAACGGAGACCGCAAAAAUUAACCAAAAGCCAAAAGGGGUAAUAGAACAAAGAGCACCCAUUACAACAUCACACAGGUUUAAAUAGGAGUGAACAGGUGUUCCAAAUUACAAUACCUAUAAAGACCCAUCCCACUGCCGGCUAAAGUGGGAUGAACCCAAGGCACGUCACAUGUACUAGCUCAUUAACUUCCCCAAACCUUGUGUCACAGACCCUCUACAGUUUUCGUAUAAUCAGCUUCCUCCUGUUCUGAAAGUAAUGCCUCUGAACCAUCUUCUUGGGUAGCUUCUUUCUCCGCCAGUAAUCCAGCCUUGUAAUCAUCAUUUGUUUCAAAAACUUUUCUUGCUUCGGAAGAGAGCUUUUUGAAUUCUUCCUUGAGCUCUGAUUCUACCAGUCUGUGUACUUCUCUACAGAGGUAGUUAGCUUGCUUAGUGAAGCUACUUUUUGCGGAAGUUCUCUCCUUCCUCAGUUGAUCAACAGUUUUUCCUAGUGCUUCCUCAGCCAUAUUGGUUUGGAUAAUAUUCACUUAACGCCUUUAUGUCAGCAGCACUUUGUCUGGACUAUCCGGAGCCGUUGAUCUCUUCAUCCCCGCUGCUACAAAUGGUUUUCAACUGUCAAGUUAUCUGGGAAAUUCUGCACAUCAGUUCUGCUUCUAACUUGAAAAAAAAUGCUUCAGUCAAGACAGGGGACACAGGGAACAACUCCAAAUCACUUUUCCGUUCUGUGUUUAAUUGUUUAGACAGAUUAAACAAUGAUGUCUCAUUUCAUUCAAUGAUGAUUCAAUAGUGAUCAAUGAUGAUUACAAAGGUGAUUUAAUAGUGAUUUCAAUAGGUUGAAAAUCUUAAAAGAGAAAAGAAAAUAACCAAUAAAUAA